UACGUAGGGUCCGAGCGUUGUCCGGAGUUACUGGGCGUAAAGCGCGCGCAGGCGGCGGUAUAAGCAUGGCGUGAAAGCCCCAGGCUCAACCGGGGAGGGUCGUCGGGGACCGCACCGCUUGAGGGCGGUAGGGGCUGGUGGAAUGCCUGGUGUAGUGGGUGAAAUGCGUAGAGAUCAGGCGGAACACCCGUAGCGAAGGCGGCCAGCUGG
rnacentral:rRNA from 1 species